UACAGAGGGCUCAAGCGUUGUUCGGAUUCAUUGGGCGUAAAGGGUGCGUAGGUGGCGCUGUAAGUCGGGUGUGAAAUUUCGGAGCUUAACUCCGAAACUGCAUUCGAUACUGCCGUGCUUGAGGACUGGAGAGGAGACUGGAAUUUACGGUGUAGCAGUGAAAUGCGUAGAUAUCGUAAGGAAGACCAGUGGCGAAGGCGGGUCUCUGGACAGUUUCUGACACUGAGGCACGAAGGCCUGGGGAGCAAACGGG
rnacentral:rRNA from 1 species